rnacentral:rRNA from 1 species
GACGAACGCUGGCGGCGUGCUUAACACAUGCAAGUCGAACGGAAAGGCCCUGCUUUUGUGGGGUGCUCGAGUGGCGAACGGGUGAGUAACACGCGAGUAACCUGCCCUUGACUUUGGGAUAACUUCAGGAAACUGGGGCUAAUACCGGAUAGGAGCUCCUGCUGCAUGGUGGGGGUUGGAAAGUUUCGGCGGUUGGGGAUGGACUCGCGGCUUAUCAGCUUGUUGGUGGGGUAGCGGCUUACCAAGGCUUUGACGGGUAGCCGGCCUGAGAGGGUGACCGGCCACAUUGGGACUGAGAUACGGCCCAGACUCCUACGGGAGGCAGCAGUGGGGAAUAUUGCACAAUGGGCGGAAGCCUGAUGCAGCAACGCCGCGUGCGGGAUGACGGCCUUCGGGUUGUAAACCGCUUUCGCCUGUGACGAAGCGUGAGUGACGGUAAUGGGUAAAGAAGCACCGGCUAACUACGUG